rnacentral:rRNA from 1 species
GACGAACGCUGGCGGCGUGCCUAAUACAUGCAAGUCGAGCGGGCCUCCGGAGGUGCUUGCACCUCCGGACGGCCAGCGGCGGACGGGUGAGUAACACGUGGGCAACCUGCCUUUGAGGCCGGGAUAACACCGGGAAACCGGUGCUAAUACCGGAUACGUCCUCUUUCGCGCCUGCGAGAGGGGAGAAAGACGGUCUUUAAGGCCGUGGCUCAAAGAGGGGCCCGCGGCGCAGUGGCUGGGUGGUGGGGCAAGGGCCUACCAAGGCGACGAUGCGUUGCCGACCUGAGAGGGUGAUCGGCCACACUGGGACUGAGACACGGCCCAGACUCCUGCGGGAGGCAGCGGUAGGGAAUCAUCCGCAAUGGGCGAAAGCCUGACGGUGCAACGCCGCGUGAGUGAGGAAGGUUUUCGGAUCGUAAAGCUCUGUUGUGAGGGAAGAACAGCAUCCGGAGGAAAUGCCGGAGGUUUGCCGGUACCUCACCAGAAAGCCCCGGCUAACUACGUGCCAGCCGCCGCGGUAAGAC